AGCAUUUGACGAGCCUGGGCCUCUAGCUAUGGACUCCAUGCAUGCCCCUUGGGACGUCAGCUCUGGGGCUAUCUCAGUUACACUGCCGUCAUGAAAAUCCAGACUAAAGCUGCAAGUCACGGUGCUGAGGGUGCAGAGAAGACACAUACUUCAUCGCCAGUGAUGUCACUGUGCCUCCCUAUGUGUGCUUCCCGUGUUUGAACCUUCAUGUUGCACACAAUGAUGCACUUUCAGGUGUGUCCACCCUGGGGCGUGUGUCCCAGGAAACAAUAAACGGAACCCAACA
rnacentral:lncRNA from 1 species